rnacentral:lncRNA from 10 species
CUUUUCUCAGUUCCUCUGGCAGCCCUCCCCAAGGACCUCUGUGAGACAAACUCAGAAACGGCUUCCCUUGGGACAUAAAGACCCCACAGGGCUCAUCCCUCUGCUUCUUCUACCCCUGUACUUUGCUCAGCUCACUAAAUUUGUCUCAGCUCCAGACAGCAAACUGCCUAAACUACAAAGGGAAAGGUCUAUGGUCCUAUAAGAGUUUACCUUGCAAGCAAGAUCAACAUUUUCUUGGGGAAAGAAGCCAAAUAAAGCCAAGAGUUUGUAUACAUCUUCCAAAUAUCCUGAGCUACAGAAAAGAAGAAAGGGUCAGAAAGAAGAUUCUCUCUGCUAGUAGGUCUCGCAUGGUUCUGAACACAUAGUAAAUGCUGAAUUACUAUUUCCUAAAUUAUCAUAAAGCUGAGAAGAAUCAUGAUUCUCAAACUUCACCUUGGAAUUAAAAUGGAUUUCCUUGAGAAGCACAUAUGAGGUAUACUCUUACUGGCAUUUUCAACUUAAGCCUUGAUAUCUCUUGACAUGUGAUUCUUCAGCAUAAGAGUACUGAUGCUCUAAAUAAAAUGCCAUUUUUAUGGGAAGAUCAGGAUAAAUCAGCAUGCCUUGGUUACCUCACACUUUCAGAGUCACUGCUGUUUUAACCCCCCAAAUAGCAUGUUGAUUAUAUUAGGAAACCUUUCUGACAAGUAUACUUAGAGCAGAAGGGAA